rnacentral:rRNA from 1 species
GCUUACGGCCACACCGCCUGGUUCACGCCCGAUCUCGUUUGAUCUCGGAAGCUAAGAUAGGUUGGGUGGAAGUACUUGGAUGGGAGACCGCCUGGGAAUACCAGGUGCUGUAGCUU